rnacentral:rRNA from 1 species
UACGGAGGGUGCAAGCGUUGUCCGGAAUCACUGGGCGUAAAGGGCGCGUAGGCGGCCCGGUAAGUAGGGGGUGAAAGCCUGGGGCUUAACCCCAGAAAUGCGCCUCAAACUACAUGGCUAGAGCAUUGGAGAGGGUAGCAGAAUUCAUGGUGUAGCAGUGAAAUGCGUAGAUAUCAUGAGGAAUACCAGAGGCGAAGGCGGCUACCUGGACAAUUGCUGACGCUCAGGCACGAAAGCGUGGGGAGCAAAAGGG